rnacentral:piRNA from 1 species
UACUCACCCAACCUCCUCGGUGCUCAU